UUGAACGCUGAAGACUGGUACUUGUACCAGUUGGAUGAGUAGCGAAUUGGUGAGUAACGCGUGGGUAACCUACCUCUUAGCGGGGGACAACUAUUGGAAACGAUAGCUAAUACCGCAUAACAAUACUUAACACAUGUUAAGUAUUUGAAAGCACCAAUUGGUGCACUAAGAGAUGGACCCGCGUUGUAUUAGCUAGUUGGUAGUGUAAUGGACUACCAAGGCGAUGAUACAUAGCCGACCUGAGAGGGUGAUCGGCCACAUUGGGACUGAGACACGGCCCAAACUCCUACGGGAGGCAGCAGUAGGGAAUCUUCGGCAAUGGACGAAAGUCUGACCGAGCAACGCCGCGUGAGUGAAGAAGGUUUUCGGAUCGUAAAACUCUGUUGUUAGAGAAGAACGUCAGUGAGAGUGGAAAGUUCACUGAGUGACGGUAUCUAACCAGAAAGGGACGGCUAACUACGUGCCAGCAGCCGCGGUAAUACGUAGGUCCCGAGCGUUGUCCGGAUUUAUUGGGCGUAAAGCGAGCGCAGGUGGUUUAAUAAGUCUGAUGUAAAAGGCAGUGGCUCAACCAUUGUGUGCAUUGGAAACUGUUAGACUUGAGUGCAGUAGAGGAGAGUGGAAUUCCAUGUGUAGCGGUGAAAUGCGUAGAUAUAUGGAGGAACACCCGGGGCGAAAGCGGCUCUCUGGACUGUAACUGA
rnacentral:rRNA from 1 species